AGGAUUACGAUUAAUCUUGAUUAUGUGCGCGAGAUUGUUGCCUUGCCGCAAGUCUUUCGCUUCAAUUUGUCAGCCUCUAGGAUAGAUAGAAUAAGGUUAACUCACGAAUCAUGUGCAUGUCCAUGUGAUUUACAUGGUAUUUUUUAUGAAUUUUCUAAUAUUUUCCUAUU